UACGUAGGGCGCGAGCGUUGUCCGGAAUUAUUGGGCGUAAAGAGCUCGUAGGCGGCUGGUUGCGUCUGCUGUGAAAUCCCGGGGCUUAACCCCGGGCGUGCAGUGGAUACGGGCCGGCUGGAGGCAGGCAGGGGAGAAUGGAAUUCCCGGUGUAGCGGUGAAAUGCGCAGAUAUCGGGAGGAACACCGGUGGCGAAGGCGGUUCUCUGGGCCCGUACUGACGCUGAGGAGCGAAAGCGUGGGGAGCAAACAG
rnacentral:rRNA from 1 species